rnacentral:sRNA from 1 species
AUUCAGUGAGCCUCAUUGGCAUUCUGUGCCGAUGGAUGUCGCUUCAUCGAGCGGCUUGCCAGUGGAGUGACAAAUCUUAUGGCAAGACCAACCGUUUUU